GGAGGUUAGUGCAAUGGCAUAAGCCAGCUUGACUGCGAGCGUGACGGCGCGAGCAGGUGCGAAAGCAGGUCAUAGUGAUCCGGUGGUUCUGAAUGGAAGGGCCAUCGCUCAACGGAUAAAAGGUACUCCGGGGAUAACAGGCUGAUACCGCCCAAGAGUUCAUAUCGACGGCGGUGUUUGGCACCUCGAUGUCGGCUCAUCACAUCCUGGGGCUGAAGUAGGUCCCAAGGGUAUGGCUGUUCGCCAUUUAAAGUGGUACGCGAGCUGGGUUUAGAACGUCGUGAGACAGUUCGGUCCCUAUCUGCCGUGGGCGCUGGAGAACUGAGGGGGGCUGCUCCUAGUACGAGAGGACCGGAGUGGACGCAUCACUGGUGUUCGGGUUGUCAUGCCAAU
rnacentral:rRNA from 1 species